rnacentral:rRNA from 1 species
GACAGAGGAUGCAAGCGUUAUCCGGAAUGAUUGGGCGUAAAGCGUCUGUAGGUGGCUUUUUAAGUCCGCCGUCAAAUCCCAGGGCUCAACCCUGGACAGGCGGUGGAAACUACCAAGCUGGAGUAUGGUAGGGGUAGAGGGAAUUUCCAGUGGAGCGGUGAAAUGUGUAGAUAUUGGAAAGACCACCGAUGGCGAAGGCACUCUACUGGGCCAUGACUGACACUGAGAGACGAAAGCUAGGGGAGCAAAUGGG